rnacentral:rRNA from 1 species
AGUGAACGCUGGCGGUAGGCCUAACACAUGCAAGUCGAACGGCAGCACAGUAAGAGCUUGCUCUUACGGGUGGCGAGUGGCGGACGGGUGAGGAAUACAUCGGAAUCUACUUUUUCGUGGGGGAUAACGUAGGGAAACUUACGCUAAUACCGCAUACGACCUACGGGUGAAAGCAGGGGAUCUUCGGACCUUGCGCGAUUGAAUGAGCCGAUGUCGGAUUAGCUAGUUGGCGGGGUAAAGGCCCACCAAGGCGACGAUCCGUAGCUGGUCUGAGAGGAUGAUCAGCCACACUGGAACUGAGACACGGUCCAGACUCCUACGGGAGGCAGCAGUGGGGAAUAUUGGACAAUGGGCGCAAGCCUGAUCCAGCCAUACUGCGUGGGUGAAGAAGGCCUUCGGGUUGUAAAGCCCUUUUGUUGGGAAAGAAAAGCAGCAGGUUAAUACCCCGCUGUUCUGACGGUACCCAAAGAAUAAGCACGGGCUAACUUCGUG